rnacentral:rRNA from 1 species
CAGCAGCCGCGGGAAUACGGAGGGUGCAAGCGUUAAUCGGAAUUACUGGGCGUAAAGCGCACGCAGGCGGUUUGUUAAGUCAGAUGUGAAAUCCCCGAGCUUAACUUGGGAACUGCAUUUGAAACUGGCAAGCUAGAGUCUUGUAGAGGGGGGUAGAAUUCCAGGUGUAGCGGUGAAAUGCGUAGAGAUCUGGAGGAAUACCGGUGGCGAAGGCGGCUCACUGGCCCGAUACUGACGCUGAGGUGCGAAAGCGUGGGGAGCAGACAGGAUUAGAUACCCGAGUAGUCCCUGUCUCUUAUAU